CACUCGUGGCAAGGGAUAUUUCGACUCUCGCAUCGAUGAAGAACGUAGUAAAAUGUGAUACCUGAUGUGACUUGUAGAAUCCCGUGAACCAUAUAUCAAGUCUUUGAACGUAAGUUGUGUCCGAAAUCAUUAGACUGAAGGUACGUUUGUGGGGACC
rnacentral:rRNA from 1 species